UACGGGGGGGGCGAGCGUUGUUCGGAAUCACUGGGCGUAAAGGGUGCGUAGGCGGGUCUUUAAGUCAGGGGUGAAAUCCUGGAGCUCAACUCCAGAACUGCCUUUGAUACUGAGGAUCUUGAGUUCGGGAGAGGUGAGUGGAACUGCGAGUGUAGAGGUGAAAUUCGUAGAUAUCUGGAGGAACACCGAUUGCGAAGGCAGUUCACUAGGCUUGUAUUGACACUGAGGCUCGAAAGCGUGGGGAUCAAACAGG
rnacentral:rRNA from 1 species